rnacentral:lncRNA from 1 species
AAAAAAAACCACAGUCCUCCCAGUUAAUUGAGAUCAUGUGCCCACUAAGAAAGACACCUGUGGGGCUGCAGUGGCCAGCCAUGCCCUCAGCACGGCACAAAUUCUGUUUGUGCCACUGAAUCUCUCCCCAAAGGGCUGCUGAGAGGCCUGUUUCUAUAGCUGGGCUGGGAAUGAGACAGAGCCCCUUGCAGGCUUUAGAGCUCUUCCUGUUGAUUCAGGACUAAAAGCUUUUCAUUCAACUUGUGAUGUCAGAAAGCUGGGUGACUGACCGCCACUGCACAGUGACUUGAUGGCCCCUUUGAAGCACAGGCCCACAAGGAUUUGCAGUCUUGCUGCUGCUCACUCUUUGGGUCUGCAUGCCUUUAUGAACUGUAACGUGGUGAAGGUCUGCAGCUUCACUCCUGAGGCCAGCGAGACUACAAACCCACUGCGAGAGAUGAACAACUGCGAACGGGAGGAACGAACAACUUCAGGCGCACUGCCUUAAGAGUUUUAACACUCACUGCAAAGGUCUGCAGCUUCACUCCUGAAGCCAGGGAGACCACGAACCCACCAGAAGGAAGAAACUCUGAACACGUCCGAACAUCAGAAGGAAUAAACUUUGGACACGUUAUUUUUAAAAACUGUAACAGUCGCCGUGAGGGUCUGCAGCUUCAUUCUUGAAGUCGGCAAGACCAAGAACCCACCAAUUCUGGAACACAGUAAGACAUCCCUGCCCAAAGCUAAACCUAACUCAUCAAGGGAGGCAUAGGAGACAAGACCCACUUGCCUUCCCUGGACCAACUGGUGCCAGCUCUGGUGAGAAACUGAGGCCUGUCUGCUGGGCCUCACUCAGGACCCAGUUAAUGGGUGACUGGGUUUGAAGAUUUCUAAGCUUGUUCCUGUUGUCUGUGAGUCACUGACCUGAAGGGCCUGGCCCCAUGCACUGAACGGGGGCAGGAGUCAGUGUCACCCCCGCUGCCUCGGCCCCAGGACGGUGCUCCUGGUGGGAGACCCCGCCUGGGGAGGCGCAGGGCGGCUGGGAGAAAUUCUGAGGACAAGGCCCGCGCUGCAGGAGCAGAGGGAGGAGCACAGGCCCCGGUCCCGCGCAGGCUCUGCUGUCCUCCCUGUGUGGUCGGGACGAGGCCCGGCUCAGAGCCGCCAAAUUCACAUCUGCAACCCAGGCCCCUGAGGGUGCAGGCUUGGACAUCAGCAGCCAAGGCCCAGAGGCGUCCAGAACGAACACGUCCAAAGCCCAGCUCCUGCCCCCGCGGCCGGCUCCGGGACAGACUCCUCCCCAAAUCUUCCUGCUCUCGGGAAAUGGCAACUCUGUUCUUCCAGCUACUCAGCCCGAAAGCCCUGGAGUUGACCCUGACACCUCUUCUCUCACAGCCCGCACCCAGAGUGCCCGCACAUCCUCUCCGCUCCAUCUUCAGGAUACAUCAGAAAGUGUCCGUGUCUCACCGUGGGCGCCACGGCCGAGGUCCAAGCCCGCACCAGGUCCCCUCGCCCCUGCGCCUCCUCCGGAGGCUCCCUCCCAUCACCCGGGUCCCUGCAGCCCCCGCUCCUCCCGGCCGCCAGAGGGCGCUUUGAACACUGCAGGCCACCGAGUCUCCCUUCUGCUCUGAGCCCUCCAGGGACUCCCAACCAGUGCAAAGGCCGGCGCCCUCCCAGUGGCUCCAGGCUCACCAUCGGCUCCCCACCUCACUUCACCGCUGGCCCUGUUUCAUCGUCCUCGCCCCAUUCUUCCCUCCCUUCUGCGACCGUGGCCAGUAUUAGAGCAUUCCUGAGAAGAGAGAUUUAUUUUAAGGAACUGGCUCAUUUGAUGUUCAGGUGACAGGCAACUCUGAAAUCCACAGGGCAGGCAGGUUGGCAGCCUGGAAAUUCAGGAAGAGUUGAUGUUGCAUUUUCAAGCGCGAACGCUGGAAACUCAAGUCGAAUUUCGAUGUUGCGGUCUGGAGGCAGAAAUCCUCCUUCCUCGGGAGACCGUAGUCAUUAUUCUUAAGGUCUUCAACCGAGUGGCCCGCCCACCAUAUAGAGGGUCAUCUGCUUUACUCAAAGUCUACUAAUUAAAUGUUAAUCACAUUCCAAAGUUUGCCUUCGUAGCAACAGCUAGACUUGUUUGUCCAAACCAUGGGCACCACAGCCUAGCCAAGACGACAUAAAAUUAGCAUCACAUGGUCCCUUUCCCCUUUCUUGAAGGCCGGUGUGGUCCAGCCUCCAGCCCUUAUCCUCACUCCUCUUUGCGCAAUAUUCUGCUCCUACGCAUGCGCAUGAGUCUUAGCCUCCUAGCUGGCUGCCUCACCUCCUUUGGAUUUUUCUGGAUGUCGCCUCAGAGCAGCUGCCUCUGACAGCCCCAUUUAGGUAGCAAGCCUUCCUCCACCAGCACUCCCAGUCCUCUUCCAUGCUCUAUUUUUGGCCAUAUUCGUUCAUAUUCAUGGGGAAAAAAAUACAAACUUUUCUUAUUUUGUUGUCCAUCUCCCUUUCUAGAAUAUAAGCUCCAACAGGUAAGCUCUGUACGAGUAUGAUUGCUACCCCAGUACCUAGAACAGUGGUACUAGAACAGGGUAGUUGCUUAAGAAAUACUGGUUGAGUUAAUAAUAGCUUGAAUUUAAGUACUUAUUAAGG